rnacentral:rRNA from 1 species
GCAAGACCAAAGAGGGGACCUUCGGGCCUCUUGCCAUCAGAUGUGCCCAGAUGGGAUUAGCUAGUAGUGGGGUAACGGUCACCUAGCGAAGAUCCCUAGCUGGUCUGAGAGGAUGACCAGCACACUGGAACUGAGACACGGUCCAGACUCCUACGGGAGGCAGCAGUGGGGAAUAUUGCACAAUGGGCGCAAGCCUGAUGCAGCCAUGCCGGUGUAUGAAGAAGGCCUUCGGGUUGUAAAGUACUUUCAGCGGGGAGGAAGGUGUUGUGGUUAAUAACCACAGCAAUUGACGUUACCCGAGAAGAAGCACCGGUAACUCCGUGCAGCAGCCGGGUAAUUACGGAGGGUGGCAAAGGCGUUUAAAUCGGGAAUUCACUGGGGCGUUAAAGGGCAACGCCAAGGCGGUCCUGUCAAAGUUCGGGAUGUGGAAAUNCCCCGGGGUUCCAACCUGGGGAACUUGAUUCCGAAAAUUGGGCAGGGCUUAAAAGUCUUGGUAACAAAGGGGGGGUUAGAAUUUCCAAGGUGUUAGCGGNNUGAAAUGGGGUUAAAGAUCUCUGGGAGGAAUUACCGGGUUGGGCAAAAGGGGGACCCCCUUGGACA